AUUGAACGCUGGCGGCAGGCCUAACACAUGCAAGUCGAGCGGGGUUUUCGGACCUAGCGGCGGACGGGUGAGUAAUGCGUAGGAAGCUACCCGAUAGAGGGGGAUACCAGUUGGAAACGACUGUUAAUACCGCAUAAUGUCUACGGACCAAAGUGUGGGACCUUCGGGCCACAUGCUAUCGGAUGCGCCUACGUGGGAUUAGCUAGUUGGUGAGGUAAUGGCUCACCAAGGCGACGAUCCCUAGCUGGUUUGAGAGGAUGAUCAGCCACACUGGAACGGAGACGACGUCCAGACUCCUACGGGAGGCAGCAGUGGGGAAUAUUGGACAAUGGGCGCAGGCCUGAUCCAGCCAUGCCGCGUGUGUGAAGAAGGCCUUCGGGUUGUAAAGCACUUUCAGUAGGGAGGAAGGGUUAAGUGUUAAUAGUACUUAACUUUGACGUUACCUACAGAAGAAGCACCGGCUACCUCUGUGCCAGCAGCCGCGGUAAUAC
rnacentral:rRNA from 1 species